AGGAUGAACGCUGGCGGCGUGCCUAACACAUGCAAGUCGAACGUCCUGUCUCGCAAGAGGCAGGGAGUGGCGGACGGGUGAGUACCACGUGGGUCAUCUACCGUGAGGUGAGGAAUACCGGCGAGAAAUCGCCGACAAGACCGCAUAGGCUCGAUGCAAGUCGAGCAAAGCUCUUUCGAGAGAGGGAGCGCCACACGAGGAGCCUGCGCCCGAUUAGCUAGCUGGUGGAGUAACGGUUCACCAGGGCGACGAUCGGUAGCUGGUCUGAGAGGACGAUCAGCCACACUGGGAUUGAGAACGGCCCAGACUCCUACGGGGGCAGCAGUGAGGAAUUUUCGUCAAUGGGGGCAACCCUGAACGAGCAACGCCGCGUGCAGGAAGAAGGUUUUCGGAUCGUAAACUGCUUUUCUCGGGAAGAGAAUGGACGGUACCCGAGGAAUCGAGCCCCGGCUAACUACGUGCCAGCAGCCGC
rnacentral:rRNA from 1 species